GGCAACAGCUCAAAUUUGAAAGCUGGCCUUCUGGUCCGCAUUGUAAUUUGCAGAGGAUGCUUUUGGCGCGGUGCCUUCCGAGUUCCCUGGAACGGGACGCCUUAGAGGGUGAGAGCCCCGUACGGUUGGACACCAAGCCUCUGUAAAGCUCUUUCGACGAGUCGAGUAGUUUGGGAAUGCUGCUCUAAAUGGGAGGUAAAUUUCUUCUAAAGCUAAAUACCGGCCAGAGACCGAUAGCGCACAAGUAGAGUGAUCGAAAGAUGAAAAGCACUUUGAAAAGAGGGUUAAACAGCACGUGAAAUUGUUGAAAGGGAAGCGUUUGCGACCAGACUUUUUCCUGGCGGAUCAUCCGGCGUUCUCGCCGGUGCACUUCGCCAGGUUUAGGCCAGCAUCGGUUUCUGCGGGGGGAUAAAAACUCGGGGAAAGUAGCUCUCUCGGGAGUGUUAUAGCCCCUUGUAUAAUACCCCCGCGGGGACCGAGGAUCGCGCUCUGCAAGGAUGCUGGCGUAAUGGUCGUCAACGACCCGUCUUGAAACACGGACCAAGGAGUCGAACAUUUGUGCGAGUGUUUGGGUGUCAAACCCUCACGCGUAAUGAAAGUGAACGGAGGUGAGAGCCCUUACGGGUGCAUCAUCGACCGAUCCUGAUGUCUUCGGAUGGAUUUGAGUAAGAGCAUAACUGUUCGGACCCGAAAGAUGGUGAACUAUGCGUGGAUAGGGUGAAGCCAGAGGAAACUCUGGUGGAGGCUCGCAGCGGUUCUGACGUGCAAAUCGAUCGUCAAAUCUGCGCAUGGGGGCGAAAGACUAAUCGAACCAUCU
rnacentral:rRNA from 1 species